rnacentral:rRNA from 1 species
CACGGGGGGAGCAAGCGUUGUUCGGAAUCACUGGGCGUAAAGGGCGUGUAGGCGGUCAGGUUAGUGAGAUGUGAAACGCCCCGGCUCACCCGGGGACCUGCAUCUCAAACUGCCUGGCUUGAGUAUGGGAGAGGAUGAGGGAAUUCCUGGUGUAGCGGUGAAAUGCGUAGAUAUCGGGAGGAACAUCCGUGGCGAAGGCGACUACCUGGACCAGCACUGACACUGAGGCACGAAAGCGUGGGGAGCAAACGGG